rnacentral:rRNA from 2 species
CCACGCCGUAAACGAUGAGUGCUACGUGUUAGGGGUUUCGAUGCCCGUAGUGCCGAAGUUAACACAUUAAGCACUCCGCCUGGGGAGUACGGCCGCAAGGCUGAAACUCAAAGGAAUUGACGGGGGCCCGCACAAGCAGUGGAGCAUGUGGUUUAAUUCGAAGCAACGCGAAGAACCUUACCAGGUCUUGACAUCCUUUGACCACUCUGGAGACAGAGCUUCCCCUUCGGGGGCAAAGUGACAGGUGGUGCAUGGUUGUCGUCAGCUCGUGUCGUGAGAUGUUGGGUUAAGUCCCGCAACGAGCGCAACCCUUGACCUUAGUUGCCAGCAUUUAGUUGGGCACUCUAAUGUGACUGCCGGUGACAAACCGGAGGAAGGUGGGGAUGACGUCAAAUCAUCAUGCCCCUUAUGACCUGGGCUACACACGUGCUACAAUGGAUGGUACAAAGGGUUGCGAAGCCGCAAGGUGAAGCCAAUCCCAUAAAGCCAUUCUCAGUUCGGAUUGUAUGCUGCAACUCGCCUGCAUGAAGCUGGAAUUGCUAGUAAUCGCGGAUCAGCAUGCCGCGGUGAAUACGUUCCCGGGCCUUGUACACACCGCCCGUCACACCACGAGAGUUUGUAACACCCGAAGUCGGUGAGGUAACCUUUUGGAGCCAGCCGCCGAAGGUGGGACAGAUGAUUGGGGUGAAGUCGUAACAAGGU